AUACGGAUGCUGCGAGCGUUGUUCGGAAUCACUGGGCGUAAAGGGCGCGUAGGCGGUAAUGUAAGUCAGAUGUGAAAGUCCAGGGCUCAACCCUGGAAGUGCAUCUGAAACUGCAUAACUAGAGUAUUGGAGAGGAAAGUGGAAUUCCUGGUGUAGAGGUGAAAUUCGUAGAUAUCAGGAGGAAUACCGGAGGCGAAGGCGACUUUCUGGACAAAUACUGACGCUGAGGCGCGAAAGCGUGGGGAGCAAACAGGAUUAGAAACCCUAGUAGUCC
rnacentral:rRNA from 1 species